rnacentral:lncRNA from 1 species
UUCAAGUUGACACCUGCAUAAGAAGAAGUGUCAGCAAUAAGGCCACAUUGGGAGUAGAGAGUGGUGGAGAGAAAGAGAGAAGGUCAGAGAGGUCAGUAAAGUCCAGACCAUGCACAGCUUCAGGUCAGGUGAAGAAUGGGAAGCUAUUGGCAGAUUUUAAGCAGGGGAAUGUCAUGAUCUAAUGUUUUCAAAAGACCACUCUAGCAGGAGUGUGGUGGAGUGAGAGUGGGUGUGGGAAGAGCAGUUAUAUGACCAUUUAAGCGAUCUUAGCAGACAUGAUGGCAGCUCUGCAAUGAAGACCAGGAGAUGAACACGGGAUACAUUUUGGAGUUGUAGCUGAUCGGGCAUACUGAUGGAUUAGAGGGGGGUAGCAGUAAGCAAGGGGUCUUUGAAGAGUUCACCCAGGAGCUUCAAAAUGAGGAACAGUGCUUGCAAUUUCCUUGAAUACUAAGAACAUCCAGCUAUUUGUAGACAGAUAAAAGAGAGCAGCCCCCAGAGGUGCUGAUCCAGCCAAGAUAGCUCAUCCAGUUCUCAACAGGACUAAAGGACUUAUCCUAUGCCUAGUUUUUCACUCCCCUCAGAGGGUCAGGUGAACUGGGGAGCAAGAGGAACUGGCGCCUUUCCCUACUUCUCUUUCAAUUCGUUUAUUGAGGUAACUGCACUGGGGAAAAGAUUAUAUCCAAAACUUUUGGAUUGCUCGACAUUAGAUGUUAACUCUGAGCUAAUACUAAUUUCCAGGGACCCAGAAUGAACUUAUCAAUGGAUAUCAGGAAUGGAGAUGACACAUGAAUAAGCACAGUAACAAGGAUUUCCCCUCACCAGGAUGACGUGGCCUUUGCCAUUGCUGAGAACCCAUUUUGCACGCAAUGGUAUGCCUACCAUUUAAUGCUAACAAAGAUGAUACUUCCCAUUCCUUUCUUUCCUGCUCAAGAACAUGUUGAUAUACUAAUCUUGAAGCAGAAGAAACCAAGUUUUGAGGUGUUUUUGAAGUCAAAGUCUCCAAACUAUGA